rnacentral:lncRNA from 1 species
UUUUUUUUUUUAAAAAAAAAGAAGCUCCCCCAAAUAAAAGGUAAGUUCCUUGGGGGAAAAAAAAGAGCUAUUCCUGUCUGACUCCAUGAUGCCUAGUACCACACAGGUUGUUCAAACCACACAGGUUUCUGGGGAGAAACUCAGAAAGCCCAGCCUCGCCCCACCCAUCAGCAGAAGCAGACAUGCGCUUAGAUUUCUAGUGGGGGGUGAUAAGCCGCCUUACAGCAUUCUCACAAGAAGAACACUGCCUGGGAUUUGGGUCUGUGUCCAUGAACAAAAGGGUCAAACCCAGAAUCACUGCAUGUGAGAGUGGGAAGAAACUUCAGCCAUCACCCAACCCAGGGGUUUUCAGACCAGUUCUACAGAGGUCGAGGGCUGUGUGUGACUGUCAGGAGGCAGGAGGCCCAAAAUCUGCUAAGAAAAGCAAGUGGCAAUGCUGAGUGAGCUAACUCCAAACUCCUGUUUCUACCAGAACAGCCCUCAUUGAAUCCAUUUAAAUAUUGAGGAUGCAAAAACAGCCUAGUUUUUUUUAAAAAAAUUAGAUCACAGAUCCAUCCAAUGCUCUUACUUUAUACUUCUAUGAGGAGAAGGGCUUUCCCAGGAUCCCCAAGGGUGACUGAGAGAGCUAGGUUAGAACUCGGUCCCCUCACCUCCAGGUCAAGAUAUGCUCCACACUCCCACCCGCUUUUCCAGAUGCCUUUGAAUCUCCCACUUCCCAAAGUUUUUAAGGGCCCAUUAUAGUGACUCUCCAAGGUCCAUGAGCCUCCUACCCCAAAUCAUCAUCAAGUGGGAGUAUACUAAAAAUGUUGGAGUUCCUGUCGUGGCUCAUGCUUAGUAGAUGUAAAGUUUAACCCUUACAACAACCCUCUGAGGUGAGUACAAUGACCCUCUUCCUCCAGCAGUAAACUUGUAUCAGGUCAUAAGCUCAGAAGCCACAGGGACAGCAUUCAAACCCAGGCAAGUCUGCCCCAGCCAGAGCUUUCAUCCCUAACCACCCUACCACGCUGCCUCACGUUUUCAUGCUGGUUUACAUCUCAUGUUCAGGCUCAUAACAGCGCCCAAGUAUAAAAAGGGAGGAAGCUUAAAAGAGGACAACAAACCUGCUCCGUUAGGAAACUUGCUGAAGGAACAUACUCAGCGAGUGAUCCUUCUGAGAACCCAGGUCUCCUGGACCAACCCUCCUUGCCCCCACCCCCACCCCUGCCAUGCUCGUAAUUAAGUCUUACAGCCAAUAACAGAAUGUCUCCCAGAGGUGGCAUGGCUGGUACCAGAGAUCCAUAGUUAUGGGCCAUCAGCAGGCACCAGCAAACAUAUUGGACAUGAAAUCAAAGCCAAUAAGCAGGAUCCAGGGAAGAGGAGGUGACAGGUCCCAGGGAGCAAAUGCUGAUGAAUCCAUUCCCUCUGGUGGAAGGCGUGAGGCUGCAGUGCUUAGCCCAGGGCUGUGCUCUCUAAGUAUCCAAUGUGGGAUGGGGUGUGUGUGUGUGUGUGUGUGUGUCUUUCUCCUUUCCAAGGACUGUAUGAUCUGCAAGAGUCAGAAGUGUCCUCUCCUUCUUAGAGGAAAUGAAACUGAGGCUCAGAGAGAGGAGGACAACAGAGUAAAUUAGCACAAAGAACCAAACCCAGGGCUUCCUCCUUUAUUCUCUCUUUACUAGACACGUCCCCUGCAGCACCCAGCAGGCCCCAGCAGGGGAUCAUCACUCCCUGGCCUGGGAAAUCCCAGCCAUCUGGCUUCUGCCCCAGCACGUCCCCAGCCUCUGCAGACAAACAGCCGCAUGCAAGGAGGUUGGGUGCCACCAUCUGCACAGAGCCUUAAUGAGAGGCCUGUGGUUUCUUGGUGUCUUGGUCAAGCUGUUUGCCAGUCCUAGCAAGUGAGAACUUUUGGCCUAACCUAACAUAGGCCUUCGGCCCCUGCACAGUCUAAAUAAAUCACCUUGGACUCCUCUCAUCUGCUCUCUAAUGAAUGGCUUCCUUGGUCAGGGAAACACUUUUUAAAAAUACUGGCAGCAGAAAAAGAAUGGAAUAAAUCCUGUAGGGUUUAUGGGUUUGAAAGGAAAACAGUCCUAUCUUGGUCUGCCCCUAUAUAAAACAAGACUUUUUUUUUCCUUUUUAUGGCCACACCUAUGGUAUAUGGAAAUUCCCAGGCUAGGGACUGAAUCAGAGAUGCAUCUGCCAACCUAUGCCAUGGCCACAGUAUCACCAGAUCCAAUUGCAUCUGCAAUCUAUGCCACAUCUCACGGCAACGCCAGAUCCUUAACCCACUGAGUGAGGCCAGGGAUCAAAUCACCGAACCCAAAACCUCAUGGAUACUAGUAGGGUUCUUAACCUGCUGAGCCAAAACAGAAACUCCUAAAACAAGAUUUUUAGAUGCCCAGUCUCCUGGGGUCCCUUUGCUGAGAAAGCUAGGGAUGGAAACUCCACUCCAAGGGUCUUUGUUGAGAAGUCUGUGGGGAAUAAGGAAGGCAUUGGGAAAAGCAGAGAGGGAAGGUGAUUCUUACAUCAGUGAAAGCCCACUAACAAUUAAUGUCCUUUGUCAAUGGAAUGGGUGGGAUCCACAGGACAAGUCAAGCAGAGGCUGAAUCCGUUGGGGACUCUGUAGCAAAUCCUUUGUGGGUAGAAUUAAGUAGAGGCUUUGAAGGCCCUCCCAAAUCUUAGGUUCUAGUCCCAUGAUUCUUGGAGGGCAGCAAUUCAAACAGGAUAGAUUUUAGAAUCAGAACAAUGCAGUUCAGUCCUGGCUCUGCUCUUUAUAGGCUGGAUGACCUUGGGGGAAGUGUUCCUCAUCUGCAAAUUGUGGUUGACCCCUCCUCUACCUCUUUGGGUUAUCCCUGCGGUUGACAACAGAGGGGUGGGGGCAGGUGCACCCUUCACCCUGUGGGCAUAUAGGUGCUCAGCAAAUGUUAGGUCCCUCCCUCUAAGGGAACACACAAAAUUCCAAGAUUUCCUGAUCCUAAGAUGGCUAACACUUUUAAAAGUCUGAUUCCAAAAGAAACAGGACAAACAAAACAUUGAUAUGGAAACCUCCUUUCCCGUCUCUCAAGAGCACUAAGGAAUCUUCUCCCCAAACUUUGAGAUAAUGCCCAUGUGUUGAUUUUUAUUCCAAACUUGCAAUUUGGCAACCUUCUCUAAGUCUUUUUUUUUUCCCCUCUUUUUCUUCAAGUCACUUAGGCUGAGCUGUUACUUGAGCCAAAAAAAAAAAAAAAAAAAAAAAAAAAAAAAAA